GGAUUUCCCCCCCCCCCCCCCCGAUUGGCCCCAGGGAUGGUUCUACAGGAGAGUCCAGGGCCCCGACUCAUCCAGGCCCGGCUCUAGAGCAGGACCUCGCUUCUACAAAAAGGCUGCCAAAUGCCAGACCCGGUCACUACUGCCCAGGUCUCCCACUUGGGUCCAAAUCCCCUCUGGGCCCUUUGUUUAAACCUCACUCAUCCGAGGCGGCCCCUUUGGGACCAUAAGUUGGCCUUUUAAUUUUUCUAGGCUUUUCCUAAUGAGCCUGCAGGAAAGGUGUGUGUGUGGGGGGGGGGGUUCAAGGAACCCCAUUAUCUCCGCAUCUUUCUUUUUUCUUUUCUUUUUAAUUUUUUUUAGGGACUUUCACUUGGCCACACUGCCAAUAAAUCUCGAAAGAUCGUGGGGAGGAAGUAGGGUCAUUAGUAAGCUUCAGAAGUCCCCCUAGACCGGGUACUCAGACCAGCCAGCCCUGCAGAGGUUCCCCGCAAGAGGGGGACCAGGAUUCGAGCACCCUCUUUUUUUUUUUUAACAAAUCAGGAGGCUUGCUCUUUCUGGGGUCCUGGCCUCCUCUUUCACCCCCACUCCACCCCACCCCACCCUCAGUGUCCUCUUCCUGGGCCUCCUUAGGAAGCGGGCUCUGCCCUUCCAGACUGAUUCCUUUGGAGACUAGAGACCGGGGCGGACGGUCUUAGUGGACCUCAACGGCCUGAACCCGAGGCACCUGGGGAGAUUCUAGGUGUCCUUACCCGGUUCCAACCUCCACCUCCUGAGGACAGGGCGGCCACCUGAGACCUGCGGACAAUCCCCCUGCGUUUCUAACCUCCUCCUCCUAACAGCUCGGGUGCUACCCAGAGCCCCUGGCUGAACAGACCCUUGGCAACUGCUAAAUCCGUUUCGUUAGACGCCAUUUGUUUGCAAUUCGUCAACCCUGCUGGGACACGCUCUCCAGACGCCUGGCCAGUCGCCUUCACCCUACCUGGUUCCUGAAUCCUGCUUGCUCUUAAACGAAUCCCAGCGCGGGAUGCUGCGUAGACCCGGAGCCAGAUGUUCCCAACCCCGGACAGAUGUAGCUAUUUUUUUUUUUCUUUUUUCCAAAACCAACGAAAUUUGUUUUUCCUUGCUUGCUUGGGAAAGAUGCAGCCACCAAAUCCGCGGGGACCUUUCCUUUGGCAGCUGGGUCAACUCCGCCCUCCCCAUCCAAGCCUGGCCUCUCCACCGGAGCUGAUUCUAAAGGCCCCCGGGUCCGGCCUCCUCCGCCUCCGGGCUGCAGAUCCCCCGCGCCCCGCGGGGAUUGAAAUGCCACAAAACGGAUUCUGACUCCCUCCCGGCUUGGGACAAGGGGGGGAGAGACUUCCAGAUCGGGCACUGUCCCCCACCUGCACCCCCCCCAGCCACACUGGAUAAAAGGCCGCGGGGUGCGUCACGUGGGGGCGCACGCAGGAGCGAGCCGGGUUAAGCCGCGCAAAGCCGGCGCACGGGACCAGCCGGCAGGUGCAGCCGCCGGCUCAGCGGUCCCCGGCUCUGGCGCAUCGGCUGCAGCGGCCCCGGGGUGAGGGACCCGCCGAGACAAAGGCUCCAUCUCCUGGAACCGGGAGGGGGAGCGCUUCGCGGAGCUCUAGGGAAGGCUGAGCUCUCCAGGCCCUGCGCUCUGAACCAUGGCGAGGCAGGAAGGCCCCAGGCGGGCCUGCUGCUGUCCCCAGGUCUCCAAAAAAAAAAAAUGCACCUGGGGACAGCCAGAUCAGGCCUUGGGAUUUGAAGUUAGAGCCGCUGGCAGAUCCAGGAAGAGCCCCAAACGUAGGGGCCACGGGGCGCAAAGGAUCGGGUGCCAACCCCGGAAUUGGAAAGGCCCGGGACAGGCGGGUGGCCUUGGAGGGAACUUACCCCGGUGAGUCGGUGAGUCGCAGUGCGCGGCGCCCCCAGGCGGAUGGGGUCCGAGCGG
rnacentral:lncRNA from 1 species